rnacentral:misc_RNA from 1 species
UCCGAUUUGCCACCGUUGUCUAGCCCAGGUAAGGUUCUUCGCGUUGCGUCGAAUUGAACCACAUGCUCCACCGCUUGUGCGGGCCCCCGUCAAUUCCUUUGAGUUUUAAUCUUGCGACCGUACUCCCCAGGCGGGGCACUUAAUGCGUUAGCUGCGGCACCGCAGGGGUCGAUACCCGCGACACCUAGUGCCCAUCGUUUACGGCGUGGACUAC